UACAAUUUUCUAGAAAAGUGAAAUAUACCCAUGGAUAAAUGGGGCCCCACUAACAUUUACCCAAAACCACAAGGACCUAAUUGCUAUUUACUCAAAAUCCAAGGGUAAGAAGAUAAUAAAUAUAGUUACCAAAAAUAGGGUUUUAUAUGAUCGGCUAGCCGAAAAUCCAGUUGCAGAAAUUGGUAAACCUUCCACAUCCAAAUAAAAAAAGAAGAUACCCCAUUCAAUUAUACAAAUCCAAAGUACAUAUUAUCAAUAAUACAUCAAAAGGCACUUUAAAGGGAAUUCAGGGGGAAGGAUCUGCAUUUUAUGGCAAAUAGAGCACUUGGAGAAGAGGUUCCUUUCGAGGUGGCACGUGAAUUGCUCAUUGCUAUAUCCAGCUUGCUACCCGAUAUAGUUCGUGUGGAGAAUUCUUGCAACUCAAACAAUACUAUAGCGGCUUCAAGGGACGGGACUGAGGAUUUCAGGUCACAAUUGAUGUCCAUUUCUCAUUCUCAAUCUUCAGACGUUGCUGUUCUGUGUAAUGGUUAUAUAUGAAUGUUGCAGCUAGCGUAUAGCUGUCGCUAAUGUACUGUCAUCGCUUUCUGUAUCAUAAAGCUCUCCUUAAGAGCGAAUCGCGCGUACUCUCCUAUGGAUGGAGCACGUUGUAUUACUAUGUAUGUGUCGUUGUUGUGUGUUAAGUUGUUGUGAUAUUUGUGGUUGUGUUGAGUUCUUGUAGUAUAAACCUUGUUGGUUGUAUGGUUAAAUCUGCCUUUAGGUGUGAGAUACAUCAUGUUUACUGCCUACAAGGAUGUAUUAUUAUCAAUAAAAUUGGAUUUGCAAAUUAUAUGCACCUAA